rnacentral:rRNA from 1 species
UACAGAGGUCCCGAGCGUUGUUCGGAUUCACUGGGCGUAAAGGGUGCGUAGGUGGUGAGGUAAGUCGGAUGUGAAAUCUCCAAGCUCAACUUGGAAAUGGCAUUGGAAACUACCUUGCUGGAGGUUUGGAGGGGGGACUGGAAUUCUUGGUGUAGCAGUGAAAUGCGUAGAUAUCAAGAGGAACACCAGUGGCGAAGGCGAGUCCCUGGACAACACCUGACACUGAGGCACGAAAGCUAGGGGAGCAAACAGG